rnacentral:rRNA from 1 species
UACGAAGGGGGCUAGCGUUGCUCGGAAUCACUGGGCGUAAAGGGCGCGUAGGCGGUUUGUUAAGUCUGUUGUGAAAGCCCCGGGCUCAACCUGGGAAUGGCAAUGGAAACUGGCGAGCUAGAGUACGGUAGAGGAGAGUGGAAUUCCCGGUGUAGCAGUGAAAUGCGUAGAGAUCGGGAGGAACAUCAGUUGCGAAGGCGGCUCUCUGGACCAGUACUGACGCUGAGGCGCGAAAGCGUGGGGAGCAAACAGG